UGGUUCUGGCAUCGAUGAAGAACGCAGCGAAAUGCGAUAAGUAAUGUGAAUUGCGGAAUUCAGUGAAUCAUCGAAUCUUUGAACGCACAUUGCGCCCGCCAGUAUUCUGGCGGGCAUGCCUGUCCGAGCGUCAUUUCAACCCUCGAGCCCCUCCGGGGGGUCGGCGUUGGGGAUCGGCUUACACUUGCCGGCCCCGAAAUACAGUGGCGGUCUCGCCGCAGCCUCUCCUGCGCAGUAGUUUGCACACUCGCAACGGGAGCGCGGCGCGUCCACGGCCGUAAAAAACCCCAAAUUCUGAAAGGUUGACCUCGGAUCAGGUAGGAAUACCCGCUGA
rnacentral:misc_RNA from 1 species